GGUACAUACAGGUAUUCUGGGAAAUAGAGUCCUCAGAGGGUCACGUGAAUUUCUGUUGGAAGCAAGCCAGCAGGGACAAGAGGUUGAAAGAAAUACCUGCAGCUUCAGCAUCAAGCGUGUUAAAGAUGAGCCAGUCUUUUGUGUGCUGUACCGUGAAAGGGAUAGAAGACACAGCAUUGCCUUUGUGGUUUCCAACACGCAGAGUGAAGGGACCAUCUGAUAGAAGACAGCUGAGAAGUAAAGACUGGGAGAGGAGGAGCAAACAGCUGCUCUGUGUUUGAAGUUCAAGGGAUGCGCUUGUUAGCAUUGGAGAACACAAGGACGUGACUUGUCGGCCGGAUCUGUGGGGUGCCUGAGGAUAAAAGGCACUUGAAAGGGUGGUGGCUGAAGGCACUGGCCAGCUGGGUUGUUUUGAUGCUGGCCAAUUGCAGUAUGUUGCUGUAGCCAUCCAGAAGGGCAUGUGAGAGGGUAAUCCCUACUGCUCAGCUUUGUGCAAUUUACUAGUUUAAAUUAAGAAGCCAGUCUGCUAUGUGCAAAACCAUUGAAAGACCACAAAAAGACAACGAGGUGAUUCAAAGCAGAAACCUAAAUCAGAUCCUUUGAAUCUUGGUGGGAAAGAGAGUUUUUCUGUUCAGGCUAAGUAGAAGGGGCCUAGGAAAGUUUGAUAGCUAAUGAAGGCCCCCAGGUUUAGUACAUACAUUCAAAUGCCUCCACGGUUCUCUCUUAAUCAUGAGUGAUCUGACCUAAUUUUUAUUAUUCUGAAGAAUAUGGCAGUUUGGAUCUGGUGCUUAUGAGUAUUUUAAUCACUAUAUAAGAACACUACAGAAUGGGAAUGAAGUAAAUCAGAGGCAACAAAUUCUGUAAAUUUCGUUUUAUGCGAAACUCAUUCUUCAGCCUAGUUAAUUUACUAACUAGUCAUGUAAUGCCUGGAUGGCUGCUGUAAGGAUUUGGUAAAACCCUGUAAUGAAAAGGAUGGAGAGAAGGUGGCUGUGACUCAGGUUAUGUCAGAGAAAGAAAGACAAUGUGAGAGAAGCCUUGUGGUGUACUCUUAAAUACCCUUUGUAAGGUUCUCUUGUGCUACUGUAUGGAGGCAGAACUCACAGAAGUCCUUAAUAUCUGUGCAUGCAGUUCUACCAAUGACCUCUGAAGGAGGGGGAAAGGAAUCAGAGAGAGGAGUCAGAGCAAAGAUACUGUAAGCAGUGUCAAAAAGAAACAUCACCCCAAAGACCUAAAAUGGUCGCUGCCAGUUCCUAUUGAUGUUUCCUGGAUGAAUACUUUGGGACUAUGUCUAACAAAGAAGAAUAAAUGGGAGAACUGAGCUUGUUUUUCUACAGUGUAUUUAUCUGGAGCCUUUCUUGGAUAUAGCAGUGCUGUGGGCUUGCAGCUGCUGAAAUGAAGAUGAGUAGUGAACUGUUGAGCAAUGGUGAUCAGCCAUUGUAUGAGAACUUCAGGAAGGUCUUGCUGCGUGAAAGCUUGCCAUCUCUGAUCGUUUCCUAUCAGCUUAAUAUUGGACAACUGGAACACCUUAGACAUUUAUUGGACGUUUUGGAACACCUUGGAGGAAAGUCUAAUCUGAAAAAGAUGUUUACUGUAAUGUUAUGGGAGACAUCUCAGAGCCCAACACUUUGCUUUCUUUCUGUGCAGUUUCCAAAAUACACGGGUCUCUUAAAUGGCAUAUAUUUAUAUUCAUUAUUUCCUAGUGCUAAUGCUUUAACUUCAGAAGUACUGGAAGGCCUCUUUCGUCUUUGUAGAAGUACUUUCAUACAACAGAGUGCAGAGCUGAGGUGUUGCAUCCUGCAGACAUACUUUGAACCACAGCUGUGCUGGAAUGGAAAAUGGAGCUUGGUCAUGUUAAAUUGUAGGAGAUGGUUCCUUGUUAUUGUGUGUCUGAAUGCGUCGUGUUCUUUCCUGGAUUAUGAGACUCUUCACUAGAUGUUUGGGCAUAGGUAAGAAAUGCCAUAAACAAGAAGGCAAAAUGUCACAGCAAAGUGUCUGUUGGAGUUCAUAAAAUGAAGUCAGAAACAGAUUGCCUUCAUGUUGAAGGCAAGGCCUAUGGAAAUUAGUAUAAUGCAACUAUAAUAAUGCAAUGUAACAGGAACAUGUGGUUAUUAGUAGAAAUGGAUAGAAGACUAGUGCUGUCUCUAAACUAUUUUCAAGCAGAUCUGCCUUCAUUUCCUGGCUGCAUGACUGACAGAGCUGAUGAAUAUGGUGCCUGAGCUAGGGUGCAUGUUUUGUUUAUUCUCGCUUGCAGUCACUGGACAGUUUGGUUGCAACCCUACAGUCUUUUAAAAAACAGCAACAAAAAAGGGCUGUCACAACUGUUUGCAUCUGCACUUCGUCAUUGUGUCCCUCUCCAAGACCAACAGUCUUGUCCGUUGAGAAAUCCUCCAGGGAACAUUUCCUCUAAAACUCGUUGCAGUCCUCCACCAGAAUGAAUUUCCUGGAAUAAAGCUUCUUUGCUUGUUUCAAAA